GUCUAUGGCCAUGCCACCCUGAACAAGCCUGAUGUCUGAUCUUGGAAGCUAAGCAGGGUCGGGCCUGGUUAGUACUUGGGUGGGAGACCAUCUAGGAUGACCAGGCGCUGUAGGCA
rfam:Pteropus alecto contig12903, whole genome shotgun sequence.